GAUUUUCGCAAUGCCCGAAAGGGUGACGAAGCGACGCCGCGUGCGGGAAGAAGGCCUUCGGGUUGUAAACCGCUGUCGGGAGUUAAGAAAUGUAAGGAUGUUAAUAGCAUCUUUGCUUGACUAAGGCUCCGGAGGAAGCCACGGCUAACUCUGUGCCAGCAGCCGCGGUAAUACAGAGGCGGCAAGCGUUGUUCGGAAUUAUUGGGCGUAAAGAGCACGUAGGCGGCUAUGCAAGUCGGUUGUGAAAGCCUUCCGCUCAACGGGAGAACAGCAUCCGAUACUGCAUGGCUUGAGUGCGGGAGGGGAGAGUGGAACUUCUGGUGGAGCGGUGAAAUGCGUAGAUAUCAGAAGGAACGCCGGCGGCGAAAGCGGCUCUCUGGCCCGUAACUGACGCUGAGUGUGCGAAAGCUAGGGGAGCAAACGGGAUUAGAUACCCCGGUAGUCCUAGCCGUAAACGAUGGGCACUAAGUAGAGGGGUUUUAAUC
rnacentral:rRNA from 1 species